GGAGAAAGAGGUGCCAAAUUAUGUCUGGAUGAGUCUGCAGGUCACGCUUCUCAGCAGUUUUGCUGACAGACCCCUCCCAGAAAACACAGCGUCAUGUCCCACUCAAAGUGUGGCUUGAGAAGCAGAAGCCAGGAAAAGUGUUCUUUGUUCUUAUCAGGAGCCACGACACCAGCUGGAAAACCAGUCAGCCAAACUGUCAGCUGGAGGAGAUGGCCAAAGCCCUUCUGCAGGCAUUUACACAAGGAGCAAACCUGGCACGGAGAUGCCAACAGUGCUGCUAAGGAUCCCGCUGCUGCUCCUGCAGCUUCAUCUCUCUGGGAGGAAGCUGCGACAGCAGGUGGUUCAGCCCUAGUAUUUCCAGGAGAACCAUGACACCUCCGAUCUCCAGAAAUUCAAUAAGGAAAACCAUGAGCUUCCUGAUGGCCUCCUGCUCUUUGACAGAAGUCAUGAUCUCUUCUGCCUAGAGAAAAGUGAGAAG